rnacentral:ncRNA from 2 species
GCAUCAUCCAGAAAGGUGGAGGGACUGGCCCUGAGAAGCCUUGGCAACCGUCAGCAAUGAUUGGUGCCAAUUCCAUCCCGUGCAGGCAGGACGGGAAAGAUGAUCG